AGAGUUUGAUCAUGGCUCAGGAUGAACGCUGGCGGAGUGCCUAACACAUGCAAGUCGAGCGGCAGCGCGAGUAGUUUACUACUUGGCGGGCGAGCGGCGGACGGCUGAGUAACGCGUGGGAACAUGCCCCAAAGUGAGGAAUAACUGCCCGAAAGGGUAGCUAAUGCCGCAUACGAUCUUCGGAUUAAAGGAUUUAUCCGCUUUGGGAGUGGCCUGCGUACGAUUAGAUAGUUGGUGAGGUAAUGGCUCACCAAGUCUACGAUCGUUAACUGGUUUGAGAGGAUGAUCAGUCAGACUGGAACUGAGACACGGUCCAGACUCCUACGGGAGGCAGCAGUGAGGAAUCUUCCACAAUGGACGAAAGUCUGAUGGAGCAACUCCGCGUGCAGGAUGAAGGCCUUCGGGUCGUAAACUGCUUUUAUGAGUGAAGAAUAUGACGGUAACUCAUGAAUAAGGGUCGGCUAACUACGUG
rnacentral:rRNA from 1 species